GACGAACGCUGGCGGCGUGCUUAACACAUGCAAGUCGAACGGAAAGGCCUGCUUUCCCUUGUGGAUUGCGGGUACUCGAGUGGCGAAUGGGUGAGUAACACGUGAGUGAUCUGCCCCCAACUUGGGUAUAAGCCUGGGAAACUGGGUCUAAUUCCCGAUAGGACUGCAGGGUGGUGCCUGUGGUGGAAAACGAUUUUCUAGUGGUUGGGGAUGAGCUCGCGGCCUAUCAGCUUGUUGGUGGGGUAAUGGCCUACCAAGGCGGCGACGGGUAGCCGGCCUGAGAGGGUGGACGGCCACAGUGGGACUGAGAUACGGCCCAGACUCCUACGGGAGGCAGCAGUGGGGAAUAUUGCACAAUGGGCGGAAGCCUGAUGCAGCGACGCCGCGUGGGGGAUGACGGCCUUCGGGUUGUAAACUCCUUUCGACCGCGAGGAAGCCACCUGGUUGGAAGGGUGGUGACGGUAGUGGUAGAAGAAGCACCGGCUAACUACGUG
rnacentral:rRNA from 1 species